CAAUACUUGUCUUAUAAUUUUUUUCUAAAAUUUACACCUAAAUAUGAUAUUCCCUCCAAUAAUUUUAACAUUAGAAUAAUUUUAACGUUGAAAAAUUGAAACUCUAAAAAAUAUACUCCCAGCUCAAACAAAACCUCAAUUCUCAGGCAUGCUAAGCUCAAAAAUGGCGCGUAAACACAAUUAAAACUCUCAAUUUUGCUAUGUGUAGUCUCCCAAAAUCACCCUCACUUUAACAAGCAUCAAAGCUCUCAUCAAAAUCUCUAGAGAUUGAAGAUUUGGGCUUCUGCAUCUGAGAAAUUGUUUUUUUCCUGCAUCUGCGAGAUUGGCCUUCUACUGGUUCUGCGAAUUUAGGAAAAAUGAACUACUUUAUGCUUUACCAUUUUCUCCUUUAAUAUUCGACAAGAAUGUUGUUGGCAAAGAGUCACUUGAGAAUCAACAGGGAGCCGGCUUGCUGAAUCUUGGAAAUACUUGCUUCCUCAAUUCAGUAUUAAAGUGUCUAACAUACACUGAGCCAUUAGCAGCAUAAUUGUAAAGUGGAAAACAUCAAAAUUCCUACUAGAGACUCAAAUUUUUAGAAUUGUGAGCUUGUUAAAUGUACCUGUGAUAAGCUGCUGCAACUGAGGGGAAAGAUCCGAAGAGGAUUUAAACUUGGGUUCAGCUUAUCACAAGUGCCAUGACAAGGAAUACAAAUGUUCCAUCCAAGGAUUGGGUGGAUUUACCUAGGUACAGCGAAGAGUAUAAACAGGGUGUUAAAUCUUAGAUUUUGGUUACACUUAUGGAGACCCUCAAGGCAAAGAAAUUCAGUUCCCAUGUGAUAGGUGUUGUAAUGUCCGUUGGACUCAACAGGAUGUAGUGUAUAAUCAUCUAAUAGAUCAUGGAUUUGUUGAAGGUUUCAAAAGAUGGAUCAGGAAUGGGAAAUUCAGUUGAAUGUUGACGAUCAUAUGGAUGACUCAUGUGAUGACAUUGAUGGGUUGUUGAAUGAUCAAUUUAGAGAUGUUGCACAAGCUGAAGGAGUUUAUGAAGGUCCAAAUGAAGAUGCCAAGAAAUUCUAUAACUUAAUUGAAGAGGCAAGUCAAGAAUUAUAUCCCGAAUCAUCAAAAUGCUGGAAAAACAUUAGAUGAUGCAUUCAUGGCAGUGUUUGGAAAGGAGAAGCUUGGUCGAUUUAGAGGCUAUGAUAGAUUAGUGAUAGCAACUUCUCUGAAAACAAGAUCAGGAAAUGAACAAGCUUACUCAGGAAAUGAACAAACUUAAACAAAAGCAGGCUAAUGAAGUCACUUCUUUGAAGGAAGAAAUAAGUGAAAUGAGAGAAGAAAUGCGACAUUUUAUUUAGUCAGUUGGUGCAAAACAAUUCUGGAUUAAAUUUUCAAGAAAUAGCAGGGAGUGACGGAUCUAACAUUCCUUCACCUGAUGCGAGUAAUGCACAAGCUAUAAGAGGAAAAAUUCUUCCAAACUCUUCCGGCUUAGCUCAUGCUUCUGUUCAUGAAAAGGAAUAAUGCGGAUGAUCAAAUUUAAAUGGUGGCCGCCACAACUCAAUUUGAUCUAGAUUGAAGUGAAUGAUGAAGAAUUUUUGAAAUAUUCUGAUAUACGUUUAAAUACAUUUGAUUUUGUGUGGAACUUAGUACAAAUCUGUAAAAUAUUAAUUUCUAAUUAGUAUGUAAAAGACAUGUUCUUUUGAAGUUCAUUGCAAAUCUAUGCAUUUGAAUUAUUUAU